rnacentral:rRNA from 1 species
GAUGAACGCUGGCGGCGUGCCUAAUACAUGCAAGUCGAGCGAACGGACGAGAAGCUUGCUUCUCUGAUGUUAGCGGCGGAUGGGUGAGUAACACGUGGAUAACCUACCUAUAAGACUGGGAUAACUUCGGGAAACCGGAGCUAAUACCGGAUAAUAUUUUGAACCGCAUGGUUCAAAAGUGAAAGACGGUCUUGCUGUCACUUAUAGAUGGAUCCGCGCUGCAUUAGCUAGUUGGUAAGGUAACGGCUUACCAAGGCAACGAUGCAUAGCCGACCUGAGAGGGCGAUCGGCCACACUGGAACUGAGACACGGUCCAGACUCCUACGGGAGGCAGCAGUAGGGAAUCUUCCGCAAUGGGCGAAAGCCUGACGGAGCAACGCCGCGUGAGUGAUGAAGGUCUUCGGAUCGUAAAACUCUGUUAUUAGGGAAGAACAUAUGUGUAAGUAACUGUGCACAUCUUGACGGUACCUAAUCAGAAAGCCACGGCUAACUACGUG